GCAUAUCAAUAAGCGGAGGAAAAGAAAAUAACAAUGAUUCCCCCAGUAACUGCGAGUGAAGAGGGACAAGCUCAAAUUUUAAAUCUGUUGGGUUCUCCUGACCGAGUUGUAAUUUGAAGAAGCGUUUUCCGCGCCGUUUGAUCAGCCCAAGUCUUAUUGAAUGAGGCAUCAUGGAGGGUGAUAAUCCCGUUCGGUUGAUCAAUGGUGCUUUACGAUACGCUUUCAAAGAGUCAAGUUGUUUGGGAUUGCAGCUUAAAAUGGGAGGUAAAUUUCUCCUAAGGCUAAAUAUUGGCGAGAGACCGAUAGCGAACAAGUACCGUGAGGGAAAGAUGAAAAGAACUUUGAAAAGAGAGUUAAACAGUACGUGAAAUUGUUGAAAGGGAAACGAUUGAAGCCAGUCGUACCGGCGGGUAAUCAGCCUUUCGGGUAUGAUUCUGUGGAGCGUGAGGAGUUAAACGCCUUCAUGCCUGCAUAUUCGUGCUCUUGGGUGUACUUGCUCGUGUGGUUGGUUAACAUCAAUUUCGGUUAUCAUAAAAUGGCUGGAGGAAUGUAGCUUCGAUCUCGUAUUGAAGUGUUAUAGCCUUCGGCAGAUGUGAUGAUUGGGAUCGAGGAUUGCAACGGAUACCCUUCGGGGCUACCUGUCUGAUUUCUGAUCGUUGCUCUGGUGCCGAAAGCUUGCUUACGGUUAUCAAAGUCGAUGGUCAAUAGGUUAGAAUGGGUUAAAUUCGUUAAGAUGUUGACGUA
rnacentral:rRNA from 1 species